AGUUGAGGGGGCCAAAAGUCUGACGAGCACGCCGCGUGAGUGAGAAGGUUUUCGGAUCGUAAAACUCUGUUGUUAGAGAAGAACAAGGAUGAGAGUAACUGUUCAUCCCUUGACGGUAUCUAACCAGAAAGCCACGGCUAACUACGUGCCAGCAGCCGCGGUAAUACGUAGGUGGCAAGCGUUGUCCGGAUUUAUUGGGCGUAAAGCGAGCGCAGGCGGUUUCUUAAGUCUGAUGUGAAAGCCCCCGGCUCAACCGGGGAGGGUCAUUGGAAACUGGGAGACUUGAGUGCAGAAGAGGAGAGUGGAAUUCCAUGUGUAGCGGUGAAAUGCGUAGAUAUAUGGAGGAACACCAGUGGCGAAGGCGGCUCUCUGGUCUGUAACUGACGCUGAGGCUCGAAAGCGUGGGGAGCAAACAGGAUUAGAUACCCCCGUAGUCCCCA
rnacentral:rRNA from 1 species